GAUGAACGCUGGCGGCGUGCCUAAUACAUGCAAGUCGAGCGAACGGACGAGAAGCUUGCUUCUCUGAUGUUAGCGGCGGACGGGUGAGUAACACGUGGAUAACCUACCUAUAAGACUGGGAUAACUUCGGGAAACCGGAGCUAAUACCGGAUGAUAUUUUGAACCGCAUGGUUCAAAAGUGAAAGACGGUCUUGCUGUCACUAUUCGCGGAUUCUCGCUGCAUUUGUUAGUUUGUAAGGUAACCGGUUUCUAAGGGAAAGAUGGACAGCCGACGUGAGUGGGGGAUCGGCCACACUGGAACUGGGCCACGGACCAGAGGCCUACGGGAGGCAGCAGUAGGGAAUCUUCCGCAAUGGGCGAAAGCCUGACGGAGCAACGCCGCGUGAGUGAUGAAGGUCUUCGGAUCGUAAAAAUGUGUUAUUAGGGAAGAACAUAUGUGUAAGUAACUGUGCACAUCUUGACGGUACCUAAUCAGAAAGCCACGGCUAACUACGUG
rnacentral:rRNA from 1 species